CUGUAACCUCCUGCCAAGGACAUGCUGUGUCCGCGCAGGUUACAAACACAAGAACAAAAUCUCUCAUCUUAGAUAUUAUUUAUAUUUAUAUAUAUAUACACACACGCACUCGCACAUCCUCACGGAAUCGUUGCUUUCUUUGAAAAAUAAACUCAGGAGAGAGUCAUUUGCAGCCAGGCGUUUGAACAAUAAAGAUGGGAACAAAAUAAAUGAUACAUCACUUGCCGUUCUCGACAUUAUUAUUAUUACACACCCUUUCAAAGAUUAGGUUACAUUUGAACUGUCUCUUUGAAAUCGCAUUGUUAAAACAACGACGCUGAUGGACAGCUCCUGGUUUGAUUCAUAAAGGACAUUUCAAAGCGCGUCCUCGUUACAGAAGCGUUCAACUGGCCCGCCCCUCCUCUCUUUAAAAAAACAACUGAAACUAAAGCAUCAAC